UACGUAGGGGGCAAGCGUUGUCCGGAAUCAUUGGGCGUAAAGAGCGUGUAGGCGGCCCGGUAAGUCCGCUGUGAAAGCCCAGGGCUCAACCCUGGGAUGCCGGUGGAUACUGUCGGGCUCGAGUCCGGAAGAGGAGUGUGGAAUUCCUGGUGUAGCGGUGAAAUGCGCAGAUAUCAGGAGGAACACCAAUGGCGAAGGCAGCACUCUGGGACGUGACUGACGCUGAGACGCGAAAGCGUGGGGAGCAGACAGG
rnacentral:rRNA from 1 species